AGAAGCUGAAAGUGAAACUGUCUGAAAAUGAGAGUGAAGAAAACUGGCCUGCUUCUAUAAUUUCAGCAGAAAGCACCCCCGGUAAACAAAAUGGCACACUUCUGCAAUCAGCAAUGAAGAAUUCUCCCUGUUUAAAUGGCUGAAGUGAGACAAGUUGAGAGAGCUUUCAACAUUCACAAACUCAUCUAAUUGUUCAGGACAUACUGAGUAUCUGCACUUACAGAAAUCAAGCUCAGGUGGAACUCCCUUGAAAGCAAGGCACCGGGAAGCCAAGAUGGGUUUUCAGAAACCAGUGGUGCCUUCCUACUGAUAGGACCGAAUCCCAGCACGGAGCCAUCGCCACAGGCAGGAGGAUGACAAACAGGAGGCACAACAGGUUGCACCAAAAAGAAGCAGCUUUUCAGUUCAGAGGAAAGUUAUUGCACAUGGACAACUUCUCACUUCAUCUGUAUGGGCUUUCCAGCACCUCAAGAGAUCCCACAGUUUUUGUUUUGAUAAACAAGAUGCCAUCCACCAUCUGCCAUCUCCCAUUGCCUCUGUCAGGAAGAACAGUUUGGAGAAUUCUUCCAACUGGAAGAGUCUCAGCUGUCUCUGCGCUUCAACACUAUCCUUUCACAUAAUCUUCAAAGAUCUGUCCACCAGCUCUGAAAUGUUAGCAUGGAAAAGCAAAUAAGAAAAAAAAAGAAAAAAGAAAAAACAAAGAAACAGAUCGACCUUGAAUUAGGAUUGAUUUUGCUUUUAAGACUAGGGAAAAAAAAAAUACCAGCAACAAAGCAGAAAAUAGAAUUAAAACUUUUUUAUGAGUUACAAUCUACAUCAUUUUUCCCAGGGCCCAACAGUCAGGCUUGUUUUUUUUUCCUUCUCACACAACAGCACCAGGCAGAGAUCCCAUCAGCCAAAAGCCACUUCAAAUCCCCCAAGCAACCCUCUUUUCAGAACAUCUCCUUUCAUGCACAUGAGAUGUAAGGAGAGCUCAGGAAGAUCCUCCGAUGAAAGCCUUCCUCCCAAGUUGUCGCCUUUGAAGAAGAGCCCCAGUGCCAGUGAAGCUCCACCGGAAUUUGCCCUUUCCUGUGAUGCACAAUGGGGAUGUGAUGCAGUUUCUGAGCCACGCUCCCUCUGGAACAUACCGCGCAGAGUCUGAGCUCAGGUGGGGCCGUGCAUCUUGCAGAACUGCUCAUAUGGCUGACCCUUAUGUCAAUAAUUAGCAGGGAGCCAGGUGGAAUUAUCUGCAGUAUAGUUGCAGCUGGUGGCAGCAAAGCCAGUAGGAGAGCACCGUUAACUGCUUCAGCAUUAGCAAGAAAUGGUGCCAAAGGCUGGCUGCAAUCAUGUAAAUAGCUCAUGGAGGGGAAACAUGAGGAUUAUGAUUACCUGGUGCUGCAGAGGGGAUGCCGCCUGAGAAAAGAUGCUUGUGCCCACAGGGGACAACGCUCACUGCCAGCAGGGAUAUGGGGUCGGUGCAGCUCCUGCCCUGCAUGGCAGAAUGUUGGACUGCAGGGCUGGCUGAGCAGCCGAUGUGAGGCUGUGAGAGGCAAUGUUUAAAAAAUAGAAUCAACACAUCAAACGAUGUGUCAUGUAAGUUUUCCAUGUCAAGGAAAAUAGCCCGAGGCCAUUCUUCCCACAUUUGCCGCUACAACAGCCAGACAACCUGGCCCCAGAAUUUAUUCUGGUCUUUAAUCAGGAAAAAUGCCUGUGAUCUCUGAGGUUGGGCUUCACGGUUUUGGAAAGAGAUGAUCUGGUUCACUAGAAGGAAGGCGCUUGCCCACUGUUCUUGAGGUCUGUGGUCACUGUGAGAGUCGCACUCAUUGUGCACCACCUGCUGAAGAAGUGGAAUUGCUCUCAUUUGCCCCAGUCAUCUCUGUACAGUAAACAUCCAGCGUAGCGGCUUCAGAGCCAUUACUCAUACUAUGUUUCCCUCUGUAUACACAAAAGCAGAUGCUGUCCAGUACCCAGAUGACCCCAAGUUCUGCUUUCAUCCUGUGCUAGUUUUGUUUUAUUUUUUUCUCCAUACUCUUCAUGCUGAGGUUUACCUUCCUCAUGAUUUUAUUGCCCCGAGAACAAAGCUGGCCCUCCACAAACCAUGCACAGUGAGGCUACGCAGGGUGCAUAGUUACUAGAACGCUUGAUUUUUGUUCCCUAAUUUAGAGCACAAAAACAAUUUCCAAGUGGCCAGAGCAAGAUUGCCCCUCCGUGCAUAUCAUCCUUCCCUUUGCACCUCAGGUAGCCUUUGCACAGAUUUCCUUUGACUCAGGACAUGGUGAGAGAUUGGUUUUGCCUUUAGGAGAGGGCAGCAGCACAAAGGUGCCAACUCAGUGUGUAGGACUAUCACAAAGCUCUCAGCACUCUGAGCCAUUUGGGGCUCUUAUGAGAUCACUCUUGGCAAGAAAGAUAAACCCAGAUAUGUUCAUGGGUUUAAAACCCAAACCCUAAACAGGCUUUGAGGCCAGCACACAAUUUCUCUAGCAGGCAAUAUGGUUUUCUUGUACAUAUAAUAAGCCUCAGUCAUCAGGAUUGCCGUGAGCUGCCACAAUGCAUACACUCCUGUGGUGCAGCCCUGGUCGCUCUCACUGAUGUGUGCUAUUUCUGAACUAAAGCAUAAGGUUUAUCAUCCCUGCUGUUCUACCCUGCAAGCAGGAGUAAAAAAGGUCGACUACUGUGUUCAGGCAGCAUCAAAUUACUGUAAAACAAGUGAGAUACUGCAGCGAUAUAUGGUGAAUCUCGGCAUCUUCACUUCUUUCAGGCUUGCAUUAUAAAUGGGUCACAAACUGUUGCUUUCAUAAUAGAAAGACGAGCCAUCAGCUCACUCAUCCCUUCCAAAUUAAUAUUCAGUGAGGAUUUGCAAAUGAAUCUGUUUCAUACCUGGGCAUGCCAUGGAGCACCUGGAGUGCUUUGUCUGAGCUAUGUAAUGGGGAGUUCAGUGUCAUGAAGCAAUUUACAGGCUGUCCUAGGGCUUCCUCUGAUAAAAACUAUGACAGCAUGCAUAGGUAGGCAGAGGAUAAGUGUUAUAGCAAAGUCUGGGCUGGACACAGGAGGGGAAUUAGGCACAGGUUUUUUGUCUCCCAAACCCAAAGAUCUCCUGCAUGUUACCCAAACCUGGCCACACAGAGUCACUGAGGUCAGGCUGCCAUUCUUCCACUCCUUACACCAAACUCCAGGUUCACCCAGGCAGUGCUGCCUCCAUCAGCACUGACCAAUAUCAGCACCAAUAUCUGCCUUUCUGUCAGAGGAGACACGCACUUUUAUCUUCUCAGACUGAAAGAGAGCCACUCAAUAGAUCUGCAUCUAUAGACCGCAGCGCUCUUCUCAUUCAUCUGCCGAAAUGUGUGCACCUGACUGCAUCGGAAGCCACAGAUACAGCACUCAGCUGCAGCUGAUUGUGGUGGUGCUGGGAGAUGCUGUUGGAGCAGCCCCAUGGGUGUCCCCAGCCCUGACCUGCUCACAUUGCAGCUGAUGGAGAUGCCUCGAGCAGGAGCCCACGUCUGGCGGGGCCUGGUGGCAAAUUGGAGGAGCUUUUCCCAGAGUGAGAAAGAAGCUAAUUUCUUACUAAUUAUUUGCCAAACAGCAUGUAAUUAAAUAGCGCAGAACUGUCGACAAUGCAUCUUUGGGUCUUUAGGCCAUAUUUUUUCUGUUCAUGGCACGCUCCUCCAGCGCUUCAAGGCUACUGCAUGCUGCAGAGCAGCGGAGGAGCAGAGUGAUAAUUGAACAAUUAACAAGUGAUGUCAUAAAACAUUGUACUUAAAAUAAAAUGCGUAAUUAAAAUAACUGAAGCACGCAAAAAAGAGAUGCAGCGGCAUACAGAAAAAAGCACACGCACUAAAAACAAAAAUCCUUGAGAAUAAGUAAGUCCCAUGUAGGAACUAAAAUAUGCCAUUUAAAGGGGAAAAAAUAGCACCAGAGUGGUUAAGCGAAGACGUGGAAUAAGCUAGCAAGCAACGAUGAUUUGCCAAAAACUAUAAUAAUGUUGCAAAAGAAGUAUUCUCUGUAGUUAACAAGUUUGGGCCAUAAAACAGUCCUUCGGUGGCUCCCUGUGUCAUUAUUUGCUACCAAGACACUGCACUGAUGGGCUCCUCGGGAUCCAGCGUUAGAUCAGUAAGCAGGAAAGCAGAGGUCCCCCCAGAUUUCCUGCCUGGAGAGCUGUUAGGAUCCGUGCUAGUUCUUUAAAGAGCAGAGCUGCGUACAGUGCUGCACUCAAAAUGACCCCGUUAGGAAUAUAAUCUGCUACAAAUGAGAUGUUUGGAGGGGAAAAAAACACAGGAAAGCCAAAAGAAAAGAGAGGGGGGAAAAAAACGAUGCCUGCUUGACUUCAGCUCAUCCUAACAAACGUGGUCUGUGAAGAGCCUGUAUCCUGCUCAUGGGAAGGCCAGAGAGGGAUUUGAGCAGCACCAUCUCCCCAAGGCUGGGCUCAAGCUGCUGCUGCCCAGCAGGUGCCCGGCUGCAGUGCCCAUGCUACUGUUCGCUCGCAGCAUGCACAGCCCUUUUUACUCCUGUUUCUCUGCUUUCCUUCAGCAUGUUAUUUCUUAAACUCUAGACACUAGCAGAGAUUUUAAAGCAUGAGGCAGACGUGCUUUCCAAGAAUAAUUGCUCUCUGGCUGCUGCACAGGAGCUCUGCUCAUGCAUUUCUGGAAGAUACUUGCAGACUGCUAACUGCUCUGGAAGCCUCCUCAGCCUUCUCUGCCUGCAAAUGGCAUUAUUAGUCGCUAAUAGCCUCAGCUCACCAUGUUGUCUCUUGGUUAGUUAGCAGCUAUUCUGCAAGUCAGAGGCAGGGAAAGAAGCACAUAUGUUUAAGCAGGAGCCAACUUCUGAUCUGUUAAAAAAGAAAAAAGAAACCUGGAAGGUUUCCUUAGAGCAAUCCCACCAUUAGGGAAGCAAUGAGUAAGGAAUGUUUCAGCAUGGGGUGGGAUGUCCACACCACCUCCCACUGAGCAGCUGCUGCUCUGGGUCUGGUUCCUGAAGGGAGGGACACAGAGGAUGCUUUGCUGCUUGCAGCUGGCACUGGCCAUGGAGCAGGAGGAGAACUGGUUCCAUUGCAGCAGGAGAUGGGAAACACAGUUUGGUGUCAGGACCUGAAAAUCUGUGGCAUAGAAUUUCCAGACUAAAGGACUGCACUACUCAGAGCACUUAACUGACAAAUAUACCUACAUCUCAUUAAAAGUCAAGAGGUCUUAAUAACAAGAUCUUUGCUGCUGUGUUGUUCUUUUUUAAAGGUUAGGGACUGGGUUUGUUUUGUUUUGUUUCAUUAAGGUUACUUGCUCACCUGCUCGUUCCUUUCUGGAUAUUGUAGGAUUCUAUUAUUUACUGCUCAAGCAAUUCCAAGAACUGCUCUACUGACAUUUCAUGGUAUUUAGUAUUGACCAAACACUACAUGAUAAAUCUUUAUAAUACUCCAGAGAGACCAUCAAGGGAGUAGUUACAAAUAUAUACAUUGCAGCAUGUUGUGUUCUGGGUUAAAUGAAAUAUAAAAUCGCAUCCCCA